GGGUCACCCUGUAUAUGUGACGAAUGUACAUAUUUUACAUUUCCAACUUCUUCGCAGAAAUAAUCUUUAGCUUGUAACAAUUAGAAUUUUACAUUCUAUAUUCUUAUUUACAUGCAAUUAGCAAGAAAAUCUAAUUCUUAUAAUGUACUACACAAUUCGCGUAUACAAGCACGUUGAUAUUUUUGGUCAUUAAGGCUGAUUGCAUUCAAAAUAUAUUCGUUCGGAGUAACUGCAUAAGAUACAAUCUUACUAACGACUCUCGCAUUUAAGGAUUUAACAUAAUGGUACAAAUCUUAUCUUACCGUGUAACUCAUACAUUAAAAUAAAUUCGUGAGAUUGUACAACGUGCAUUUGAAAGUUUUGUCUCUUUGCCCUCUAAAGCAGCGUGACAAUUAUUUUUUAAUACUCCCUCGCGUAAUUUAAUUUUUCACCUUAAUCGAUAAAUAUUUUUGAUGAAAUUUUUGAUUCUACAAACAGAAAAAUACACAGAGAAAUAUGCUUUUGAUAUCAAAUAAAUCCAUCUAUCUUAAUUAGUGCGCAUUGCUUCGUGUCUGUGUUCGGUGGCAAAUUGCAUGAUUCUCGUCUGCUAUCGCGCGCGCUGCGUGCUAGGAAUUCGUGAGCGGAGUCGGUACGCAAGGUGACUAUCGAGCGGUUUAUUUCAUCAAGCUACUGUAGGAGGUAGAGGCGGCAAGAAGCUUGCGCCACGAAAUGCAAAUUCGUGCGGAUACAGAGCCGUUUACGAGAUCAACGCACUACUUGGAUUAGGCUAAGAGCCUAAGUCUGCGGAGCGUGCAAAAGUGCGAACGUAGGAAAUAUUCUUCCUCUCUCGUCGGCUUUAUCCUAUUCUCAUGCGUAUUCGCGGACUUAAAAUUGCAGAUGAAAAGAGAACAUUAAGAGAUUAACCGAUUCGGCCAUAAUUUUAGACAGUAACGUAAUAAAUUGUUUUAAUGACAUUACAUUAGAUUGUGAAAACAUUUUCCCCUUAAAUAUAUAUAAUACUGAAUAAUACACUGAAAAAAAAUCGAUGAUAAAAUAGACUAUAAUUGCAUGGUAAAAAAUUAUAGUCGGAAUACUCAUUUUUAUAAUAAAUUCUACUAUAAUACUAGUUAUAUAAACCAUAUACGCAUGGUUCCCAGAAACAAUGAAACUUUUUACUAUAAAUUGUAGUAAUUUCGAAUCUUUUAUAGUAAAAAAUGAAGGAAAGGAAUAGUACAUAACUUUACUAUUCGUAUAUAGUCUUCGCAACCUUAAUAAUGGAAAGUGUUACUAUAUUAUUAUCGGUUACUCAGCUAUUAAUAUAGUAAUAAUAAGUUAUGCCCGUUACCAUGGACUUAUCCCCACCACUCGAUUUUCAGGUAAGUUGCAUCAUUUUGAUGUCACUGCCUGCGGCAACGUGAUCAAUGUGACCGAUGAGAAGAGUGAACGUUAAAUUUAUUAUAACGUUAACGUUAAAGUGCGCUUGAAGAAUAAAAUAGUCAUUGUGCUGAUAUGAAAGCGUAGAAGACACGUGCCUGUUAGAACACGAUUGUAAGAGUAUAGGUAAUAGAGAUAUGUAAAUACAUACAUAUAUGGUAAGCUAGUCGGUAGGCCACCUGUACAUCGAAAACAUAAAAGGUCAUCUAGAGUGUAAAAGAAGGCAAAAUAAAUAAGAAGCGGUUGAUUCGGAGUCAGUUUGAAUUGAGCAAGCGAAGAGAGACAAACACGGAAAAAGAGUCCUUUCGACCGCGCAAGUGUGCGUUCGGUUCGGAGAAUUCGCAAAUUAAAAGACAGAACAAUUUAUAAGUGAACGGUGCGAGCGUGCAUUAUUUGAUUAAAAAGGUGUGAGCGUACCUUUUAAUAGAAACUCGUGUGAACUAAUUUGUUAAAUAUAUCUUUAGUGCUUUUCAAUAAGAUCUUUUACUUUCUAUUACCGAAACUAUCGAUCAUCCUGAAUCUUACACGAUCUACUGAACAACAGCUUUUACCGGCGUAAAAGCAGUAUAUAAGUGUACGCAACUAACGUCGCCACAAGAAUACGUCGUUUACAGACAAGUAAGUAGUGAAAUAAUGUAUAUUUACACUCACUUGCACAACGGUGCGAGUACUUAUUUCUCUGAAUUUUUAUUUUAAUAAAUAUAAUUGUUUGCUUUUCUCCUUCAUAAUUAUUUUCUUAUGUAACAUUGUAGGUUAAACGUUUCACUUCAAUUUUUUUCUAUAACAUAAUGUCGCACUUAUGCCAGGAAAAAUUAGAAGAGUGGGGUCUUUCAGAAUAUGUACAAAAAUUUGAAGGUUAACUAAUUUUAUUAACCUUUUAUUGCUAGAAUUUUAUUGCAACUGCUAGAAUAUAAUUAUGAUUAUGUUGCAUUUUGUAUUUGUUUAGAUGAGAGCAUAGAUGAGCAGACAUUUCUAUACAUGCCCGAAUAUAUGGUGGAAGAAUUAAUCCCUACAAUUGGAAAGCGUUUUCAUUUUCUAGAAAAUCGUAAAAAAUUACUUACAAUUGAAAAGGAAGAUUCAGAAACUUCAAUUUCAAUGGAUUUGACUAGAAGUGAAAUCGAAGAAACUGUCAGUAUAGAUAGCUGUUCUUCCAAGGAGUCGAUUGAUAAUUGUGGACAAGCUCUAAAAGAAUUGCUCUCCGAAUCUAGUUGUGGUCGAAAAAUAUCGAAAAUAUCGCCAAAUACGACUGACUGCAUCAGAUCGUAAUAAAAUAAGUCAUUUCAUUAUAGACAAACUUCUUUGCAAAUCUAUAAAAAAUAAGCUGAAGAAAGAGUCAGCCUUUUUAAAUAUGAAACAACAUCGACAUAUUAUGUUCCAAGUAAUGCAAAACAAAAACGUCUUGCUAAUGGAAAACUGUGAAACAAAUACAACAAUCUAAAAAAGUACAUUAAGAAUAAAGCAAUAGUUGAAAACAAAGAGAACACUCCGGUAAAUUCUGAUUAUGAAGAGGCAUUGUUUACAUUGCGAGCAAUUCAGCCAGAUGAUCCCAGUCUUCUAAUGCUUUGGGAAGAAACGUAAGGAGGAAAAAGACUUCGAUUGCUCAAUAUUAUGAAGAAUAUCCUAUUUUAAAAAGUUCGAUUACUACCUCACUGGUAAUUUCGUAUAAAAUUUGUGUGUGCAUGUGUGUACAUGCACGCAAACGUGGUAUAAUAUAAUUAUAAAUUUUUCUAAUUUAAUGUCAAUUAUUACAGAUAUUGAUUGUAGAAUUGCAACAGGAAUUGACACGCUUAUUUUUCAAAAAAAGUGGCCCAAAAUUUGUCCAUACAUAAUACAGAUAGCUGAAAAAAAGCAAGUAUGCCCAGCAUUGUGUCAACUGAAUAUGUGUAUAUAAUAUGUCAACGCAAUAUGUGUAUGCAUAUUUGUUUAUGUUUUUUAUCACUUAUUAAUUCCAUUCUAAUGUAAUGUAUGUAAUUUCUGUUAAUUUCAGAUGUGCCAGUCGAAGAACUAAGUCUUUUUGUUUCACCUUAUAUAAUUAAUACAUGUCACGUAAAGACAGGCAACAAAAAGAAAUGGAUACCUUCUAAUGUGAAAGUUGCUGAAAGCUUUAUCUGUCGAAUUCCUGUAAGUAACUUAUUCUAACAUGUUUGAGAAAAAUACUUUAGUAUUCGGGACACGUAUUUCAAAUGUCAUUGUUACAUUAUAUAAUUUUAUUUUUUGUAGAAUAUAGCACAAUUAGAACCUGUAUUACAACAGCGAAAAAAAAAACUUCAAGCUGUAGGAUUAACACUUCAGCCAACAGUCCUUGCAGUGGGUUCGCUGAUAAACUUCACAUCUUUUUACGUUCUUGUAAACGACGUAAAGUGCACUUUGACAAGUCUGCCGAAUGCAAUAGAUCUGUGCUUUCAAGCCUUUUUUGCACUAGAUGCAAAAUAUCCAGUAGACUGUGAAAGAGUAUGGUAUUUUUUACAACAAUAUGUGUACGGUAUUUAUUACCAGCGAAAAAUAUUCACGAAAUUUUAUUUCUUCGGAUAUCGUUUGGCAUGAUAUAAAUGAAUUAAUGUCUU